GUUACCUACGGGACGCAGCAGUGGGGAAUAUUGCGCAAUGGGUGAAAGCCUGACGCAGCGACGCCGCGUGAGGGAUGGAGGUCUUCGGAUCGUAGACCUCUGUCAGCAGGGAAGAACGGUCACUGUGCUAAUCAGCAGUGAAUCGACGGUACCUGCAAAGGAAGCACCGGCUAACUCCGUGCCAGCAGCCGCGGUAAUACGGAGGGUGCGAGCGUUAAUCGGAAUUACUGGGCGUAAAGCGCUCGUAGGCGGUAUGUCAA
rnacentral:rRNA from 1 species